AGGGAAUCUUCCGCAAUGGGCGAAAGCCUGACGGAGCAACGCCGCGUGAGUGAUGAAGGUUUUCGGAUCGUAAAGCUCUGUUGCCAGGGAAGAACGUCUUCUGGAGUAACUGCUAACGGAGUGACGGUACCUGAGAAGAAAGCCCCGGCUAACUACGUGCCAGCAGCCGCGGUAAUACGUAGGGGGCGAGCGUUGUCCGGAAUUAUUGGGCGUAAGGCGCGCGCAGGCGGCUGUUUAAGUCUGGUGUUUAAUCCUGGGGCUCAACCCCGGGUCGCACUGGAAACUGGACAGCUUGAGUGCAGAAGAGGAGAGUGGAAUUCCACGUGUAGCGGUGAAAUGCGUAGAGAUGUGGAGGAACACCAGUGGCGAAGGCGACUCUCUGGGCUGUAACUGACGCUGAGGCGCGAAAGCGUGGGGAGCAAAC
rnacentral:rRNA from 1 species